UACGAAGGGGGCUAGCGUUGCUCGGAAUCACUGGGCGUAAAGCGCACGUAGGCGGAUCCUUAAGUCGGGGGUGAAAUCCUGGAGCUCAACUCCAGAACUGCCUUCGAUACUGAGGAUCUUGAGUCCGGGAGAGGUGAGUGGAACUGCGAGUGUAGAGGUGAAAUUCGUAGAUAUUCGCAAGAACACCAGUGGCGAAGGCGGCUCACUGGCUCGAUACUGACGCUGAGGUGCGAAAGCGUGGGGAGCAAACAGG
rnacentral:rRNA from 1 species